rnacentral:rRNA from 1 species
UGGGGAAUAUUGCACAAUGGGGGAAACCCUGAUGCAGCGACGCCGCGUGGAGGAAGAAGGUCUUCGGAUUGUAAACUCCUGUUGUUGAGGAAGAUAAUGACGGUACUCAACAAGGAAGUGACGGCUAACUACGUGCCAGCAGCCGCGGUAAAACGUAGGUCACAAGCGUUGUCCGGAAUUACUGGGUGUAAAGGGAGCGCAGGCGGGAAGACAAGUUGGAAGUGAAAUCCAUGGGCUCAACCCAUGAACUGCUUUCAAAACUGUUUUUCUUGAGUAGUGCAGAGGUAGGCGGAAUUCCCGGUGUAGCGGUGGAAUGCGUAGAUAUCGGGAGGAACACCAGUGGCGAAGGCGGCCUACUGGGCACCAACUGACGCUGAGGCUCGAAAGUGUGGGUAGCAAACAGGAUUAGAUACCCUGGUAGUCCACACUGUAAACGAUGAUUACUAGGUGUUGGAGGAUUGACCCCUUCAGUGCCGCAGUUAACACAAUAAGUAAUCCACCUGGGGAGUACGACCGCAAGGUUGAAACUCAAAGGAAUUGACGGGGGCCCGCACAAGCAGUGGAGUAUGUGGUUUAAUUCGACGCAACGCGAAGAACCUUACCAAGUCUUGACAUCCUGCGACGGACAUAGAAAUAUGUUUUUCCUUCGGGACGCAGAGACAGGUGGUGCAUGGUUGUCGUCAGCUCGUGUCGUGAGAUGUUGGGUUAAGUCCCGCAACGAGCGCAACCCUUAUGGUCAGUUACUACGCAAGAGGACUCUGGCCAGACUGCCGUUGACAAAACGGAGGAAGGUGGGGAUGACGUCAAAUCAUCAUGCCCUUUAUGACUUGGGCUACACACGUACUACAAUGGCGUUAAACAAAGAGAAGCGAUAGGGUGACCUGGAGCAAAUCCCAAAAAUAACGUCCCAGUUCGGACUGUAGUCUGCAACCCGACUACACGAAGCUGGAAUCGCUAGUAAUCGCAGAUCAGAAUGCUGCGGUGAAUACGUUCCC